rnacentral:misc_RNA from 1 species
UAAGCACAAUGUAAUUUUUAAUCAAUC